UACAGUUCCUUGUACUGAUCUAGCAUACUCUAAUCAAUGUGCUAGGAAUCAGUUGAAAAUCAGGAAAUAAAUUAGUUUACAUAUCAGAAUUGUAAGACUUCAAAAAUAUUUUAUCAGCUGUGCAUUUAGUGCCAGAGGCUGUUUCUAUCCUUUUGUUUAGUUACUGGACAUCGGAGUUCUUUGUCACCUCUGUGGUGCGGUUCCAAUAGUAUCAAAGUGAAAGUACUACUGUGAUAUAGGUCCUUGACUAAUUAAUGCAAUCUAUAGGUGACAUGUCGAGGAUGAGGACUUGGGGCUGCAUCUGACGUAUGCUAGUUGUGCCAGUGAAUGAAACUUUUCAUAUCCAUCUCAACCAAGACUACUAUUAAUCCCAAGUCAUGCACGUGUGCAAUCACAGAACACACACCAACAUAUCCAUCAACAUUCAUGCGGAGUUCUACGGUGUGACAAAGCACAUAAUCCAUAGAGCACAGUUGGAACUUGAAAAUUUGACUUUAAAAUUGCAAGCUUCAUGAUCAUGAAUAAUCUUGCAUGUUUGCCGGGUAGUAAUUUCUGGAUUGCUGCCUGUGCCACACACCAGUGAGGGUAGAAACGGGAUGAUCUGGCAGAUAAAUGCGUGGUGCGGGGGACAGGGAUCUCUUCUGGUGAAGUGUGAUCUGUUCAAAAGUUACUGGUUGCACCUGAAUCCAAGGGGAGCCAAUAUUCUCAUGGACAGGUUUGUUAGAGCGGUUGGGAAGGGUUUAAACUAAUUUGGUGGUGGGGGGGUGGGAAAUGGAGUGAAGGGACCCAGGAUAGGACAGAUGGUAAAAAAGCAAAGAUGACAGGCAGUCAGACUCUCAGGAAGGGCAGGCAGAAGAUAGGAUAUCAUUGCAGCCAGCAGGGUGAGUAUCAGUGCAUUAGAGAUGCAGAAUCAAAAAAGGUAGCAAAUACAGCACUCAAAGUGUUAUAUCUCAAUGCACAGAGGAAAAGGUGGAUGAUCUUGUUGCAUUUUUACAGUUUGUUGGGUAUGAUGUUGUGGCCAUCACUGAAUCAUGGCUGAUGGAUGGUUGUAGUUGGGAGAGGAACGUCCAAGGCUUUAUAAGACACUAGUGAGGUCUCAGCUUGAGUAUUAUGAAUAGUUUUGAGCUCCUCAUCUAACAAAAGAUGUGUUAGCAUUGGAGAGGGUUUAGAGAAGGUUCACAUGGAUGAUUUUGGGAGUGAAAGGGUUAUCGUACAGGGAAUGUUUGAUGGCUCUGGUUCUGUACUCACUGGAGUUUCAGAUGGGGGGGUCUCACUGAAACCUUUUGAAUCUUCAAAGGUCUAGAUCGAGUUGAUGUGAAUAGGAUGCUUCCCAUGGUGGGGGAAUCUAGGACAAGAGGGCACAGCCUCAGGAUAGGGGGCAUCCAUUUAAAACAGAGAAGUGAAGACAUUUCUUUAGCCAGAGAUUAUUGAAAUUGUGGAAUUGUGGAGGCCAGUUCAUUGGGUGUUCUUGAUCAGUUGAUUGAUCGAUCCUUGAUUGGACACGACAUCAAACGUUACGGGGAGAAUGCCGGGGAAUGGAGCUGAGGAGGGGAAAAAAUGAUCAGCCAAGAUUGAAUGGCAGAGUAGACUCGAUGGGCCAAAUGGCCUAAUUCUGCUCCUCUGUAUUAUGGUCUUAUAAUUUAUGUUCUUCUUGUGAAUGUUGUAUAUCUGAUACCAUGAGCCCAUGAUGCUGAUACAAAUCAGUUUUUCAUUGCAUCUAUGCAGACAUAAAUCUAUUUCUAUGACGGUAAAUUCAGUUUUGAUUUUAGCAGAUGUUUCUUGUCUCAAGUAACUUUAAUUUAACAAAGGCAAUGCCUUAGUAAACUCACCUUUCCCUUAUUAGUAGUUGAGUUUGCAUUCCCUGUUUGGUAUAGCAUCAUUAUACGAAUAUGACUUUAACUAAACAUUGCAGAAUUGCAAUUUUUUUUUACCAUCUCUCCUGAUAUUUUUACCUCAGAUUAAUGACUUAACAGUAUGAUGGUCCGACAGAGCAUCAAUAUUUUGCUCUGAGGUAAGUACCAGCAGGCUGUUCAACGUCGAGGGGGCCUUGCAGCUGAACUAAUCCUAGUCCUCACCCAACAUGAAUCUAUCUUCCAACAAGCAUCAUUGAGCAGUGAGCAGAAACAGGAUGCAGCAACGUAACUAACUCCAUGUUACACUGAGAUGGUAGCAAGGACUGUCAUUUGGAAUGUAAUACAGCAGGUUUUAAACUAAGAAUGGAAUGAAAAUCAGACUGAAAAAUUCCCCUUACCUUAUGAUGGAAGAUGGAACAGUGAGCAAGGAAUCAUCCUGAGCUUCUUCUCCCAUCGCACAGAUGAACUUUAUUGCUGUUCUUGUUUACCAAUGCUUGACAGAUUUUUUUUAGGUUGACUGGUUGAUAUAGCCUGCCCAAGGAAUCGGCUCAGCAAAUCAAGAGAGAAAAAUUAAAGCAGAGAAGAUGAAUUUUCCCUGCUGUCAGGCCGCAGGCGUUCAGCUGAAGCACUUCAGAUCCAUAGGAGAGUGAGAGACAGGAGAAGUAACUAUGAACACCAUUACAACUAAUCAAUGAACAGUCACCAUAGAAACUGAACAGCCUCCAUCUCAAAGCAUAGCUUCCACAGACAUCUGGUCACAUGUCUGACGUUACAAACAACACUCCUAAUUGCCGAGGUGUUCUGAGACUAACCAUAGGGGGGAAAAUCUCAAGAUUUUUAUUCCUUCAGCGAGAUUUUAGAAUUUUCUUUCUUUGGAUAUUGUGCUCCUUGGUAGGCCCUUCUCCAUAUUACAAGUCUGUGUACGUGCACAUUGUCAGUAGUCACUCUCACUGGAACACACCCACUAACAUAGUUUAGAUGUGACUGAUUUAAACAUUGAUUUUAACAAAUCAGUAAACUCCUUAAUUUUGUGUGUGCAAAUUGACCACAUACUAGAGAUUUAUUUUUAAAACAUAACUUGCACAAAAUAAGAUUCAGAGAGGGGAAAAUCAAUAACAUAGUGAUAUUGACGCUGGACACUUCACUCAGUACCAUGAAUCAUAACUAUUUAUGGAAAGCGGCCAGUGAGUGAGUGGGCCAGUGAAGGAGUGGAGGUUUGAGGCUUUGACUCGAGAGAUUCUGGCAGUUUUGGCAGUUGGACUGUGCAAUCAAGUCAAUCAAGAUUUGAAUAGCUCAGCAGAAAGCCGUUGAUCAGACAAUCAAGAAUUGAAUAGCUCAGACUCAGCAGAAAACAGCUGAUUGGGCAUUUGAGGUCAGGUGACCAAGCAGUUUGAAAAGCUCAAACAAAUAAAUAGAGGGUUACCUCAAGCGUAGCGGCCAGUGAAGGAGUGGAGAUUUGAGGCUUUGACGAGAAGAGGCUGAGGACGAGCUUCACUCCAAGUGAGGUGAGGCUGGGUAAGUUCCUUUCAAAAGAGAAAGUUUCUAAAGUUGAGGCAAGUAUUGGGUAGGUCAUGGCAGCUGAGAUCGGCCCUGUGGUUUGUUCAUCCUGCAGCAUGUGGGAAAUCAGGGAUACUUCCAGUGUCCCUGACAACCAUGUGUGCAGGAAGUGUGUCCAACUGCAGCUUCUGGCAGACCGCAGUGAGCAUCUGGAGCUGCGAUUGGAUUCAUACUGGAGCAUCCAUGAUGCUGAGAAAGUCGUGAACAGCACGUUCAGUGAGUUGGCCACACGGCAGGUAAAGGCUACACAGGCAAAAAGGGAAGGGGUGGCCACUAGACAGCAUAGCAGUAGGCAGGUAGUGCAGGAGUCCCCUGAGGUCAUCUCCCUCCUAAACAGAUAUACUGUUUUGGAUACUGUUGGGGCAGAUGUCUCAUCAGGGGAAGGCAGCAGCAGCUGAGUUCAUUGCACCAUGGGUGGCUCUGCGGCACAGGAGGGAAGGAAAAGGAGUGGGAGAGCAAUAGUGACAGGGGAUUCGAUUGUAAGGGGAAUAGAUAGGUGUUUCUGCAGCCGCAAACGAGACUCCAGGAUGGUAUGUUGCCUCUCUGGUGCAAGGGUCAAGGAUGUCUCUGAGCGGCUGUAGGACAUUCUGGAAUGGGAGGGUGAACAGCACAUAGGUACCAACGAUACAGGUUAAAAAUGGGAUGAGGUCCUGCAAGGUGAAUUUAGUGAGUUAGGAGAUAAACUAAAAAGUAGAACGACAAAGGUAAUAAUCUCUGGAUUACGACCAGUGCCAUGUGCUAGUCAGAGUAGAAAUCGGAGGAUAUUUCAGAUGAAUAUGUGGCUUGAAAAAUGGUGCAAGGGGGAGGGAUUCAAAUUUCUGGGGCAUUGGAACCAGUUCUGGGGGAGGUGGGACUGGCAUAAACAGGACAGUCUGCACCAGGGCUGGACUGGAACCAAUGUCCUAGUGGGAGUGUUUGCCACUGCUGUUCAGGAGGCUUUGAACUAAUGUGGCAGGGGGAUGGGAACAAGUGCAGAGAGACAGAGGGGUGUAAAAUGAGGGUAGAAGCAAAAAGUAGUAAGGUGAAAAGUAAAAGUGGCAGGCAGGCAAAUCAAGGGCAAAAAGCAAAAAGAGCCACUUUUCAACAUAAUUGUAUAAAGGCUAAGAGUGUUGUAAAAACAAGCCUGAAGGCUUUGUGUGUCAAUGCGAGGAGCAUUCGUAACAAGGUGGAUGAAUUGAAUGUGCAGAUAGUUAUUAAUGAAUAUGAUAUAGUUGGGAUCACAGAGACAUGGCUCCAGGGUGACCAAGGAUGGGAGCUCAACAUCCAGGGAUAUUCAAUAUUCAGGAGGGAUAGACAGGAAAGAAAAGGAGGUGGGGUAGCAUUGCUGGUUAGAGAGGAGAUUAACACAAUAGAAAGGAAGGACAUUAGCCUGGAAGAUGUGGAAUCGAUAUGGGUAGAGCUGCAUAAUACUAAGGGGCAGAAAACACUGGUGGGAGUUGUGUACAAGCCACCUAACAGUAGUAGUGAGGUUGGGGAUGGCAUUAAACAGGAAAUUAGAAAUGCGUGCAAUAAAGGAACAGUAGUUAUAAUGGGUGACUUCAAUCUACAUAUAGAUUGAGUGAACCAAAUUGGUAAGGGUGCUGAGGAAGAGGAUUUCUUGGAAUGUAUGCGGGAUGGUUUUCUGUACCAACAUGUCGAGGAACCAACUAGAUAGCAGACCAUUCUAGAUUGGGUAUUGAGCAAUGAGGAAGGGUUAGUUAGCAAUCUUGUCGUGCGUGGCCCCUUGGGUAAGAGUGACCAUAAUAUGGUGGAAUUCUUCAUUAAAAUGGAGAGUGACACAGUUAAUUCAGGAACAAAGGUUCUGAACUUAAAGAACGGUAACUUUGAAGGUAUGAGACGUGAAUUAGCUAAGAUAGACUGGCAAAUUAUACUUAAAGGGUUGAUGGUGGAUAUGCAAUGGCAAGCAUUUAAUGAUCGCAUGGAUGAACUGCAACAAUUGUUCAUCCCAAUUUGGCAAAAGAAUAAACCAGGGAGGGUAGUGCAUCCAUGGCUGACAAGGGAAAUUAUGGAUAAUGUCAAGUCCAAAGAAGAAACGUAUAAGUUAGCAAAAAAAAAUAAAAGCUGCACACCUGAGGACUGGGAGAAAUUCAGAGACCAGUAGAGGAGGACAAAGGGCUUAAUUAGGAAAGGGAAAAAAAGAUGAUGAGAGAAAGCUGGCAGGGAACAUAAAAACUGACUGUAAAAGCUUUUAUAGAUACGCAAAAAGAAAAAGAUUGGUCAAGACAAAUGUAGGUCCUUUACUGUCUGGAACAGGUGAAUUAAUCAUAGGGAACAAAGACAUGGCAGACCAAUUGAAUAACUACUUUGGUUCUAUCUUCACUAAGGAGGACAUAAAUAAUCUUCUGGAAAUAGUAAGGGACCGAGGGUCUAGUGAGAUGGAGGAACUGAGGGAAAUUCAUGUUAGUAGGGAAGUAGUGUUAGGUAAAUUGAAGGGAUUAAAGGCAGAUAAAUCCCCAGGGCCAGAUGGUCUGCAUCCCAGAGUGCUUAAGGAAGUAGCCCAAGAAAUAGUGGAUGCAUUAGUGAUAAUUUUUCAAAACUCCUUAGAUUCUGGAUUAGUUCCUGAGGAUUGGAGGGUGGCUAAUGUAAUCCCACUUUUUAAAAAAGGAGGGAGAGAGAAACCAGGGAAUUAUAGACCGGUUAGUCUGACAUCAGUGGUGGGGAAAAUGCUAGAGUCGGUUAUCAAAGAUGUGAUAACAGCACAUUUGGAAAGAGGUGAAAUCAUCGGACAAAGUCAGCAUGGAUUUGUGAAAGGAAAAUCAUGUCUGACGAAUCUUAUAGAAUUUUUUGAAGAUGUAACUAGUAGAGUGGAUAGGGGAGAGCCAGUGGAUGUGGUAUAUUUAGAUUUUCAAAAGGCUUUUGACAAGGUCCCACACAGGAGAUUAGUGUGCAAACUUAAAGCACAUGGUAUUGGGGGUAUAGUAUUGAUGUGGAUAGAGAAUUGGUUGGCAGACAGGAAACAAAGAGUGGGAGUAAACGGGACCUUUUCAGAAUGGCAGGCAGUGACUAGUGGGUUCUGCUAGGCUCAGUGCUGGGACCUCAGUUGUUUACAAUAUAUAUUAAUGAUUUAGAUGAGGGAAUUAACUGCAGCAUCUCCAAGUUUGCGGAUGACAUGAAGCUGGGCGGCAGUGUUAGCUGUGAGGAGGAUGUUAAGAUGAUGCAGCGUGGAUAGGUUAGGUGAGUGGGCAAAUUCAUGGCAGAUACAAUUUAAUGUGGAUAAAUGUGAGGUUAUCCACUCUGGUUGCAAGAGCAGGAAAACAGAUUAUUAUCUGAACGGUGGCCGAUUAGGAAAAGGGGAGAUGCAACGAGACCUGGGUGUCAUUGUACACCAGUCAUUGAAGGUGGGCAUGCAGGUACAGCAGGCGGUGAAAAAGGCAAAUGGUAUGUUGGCAUUCAUAGCAAAAGGAUUUGAGUACAGGAGCAGGGAGGUUCUACUGCAGUUGUACAAGGCCUUGUUGAGACCACACCUAGAAUAUUGUGUGCAGUUUUGGUCCCCUAAUCUGAGGAAAGACAUUCUUGCCAUAGAGGGAGUACAGAGAAGGUUUGCCAAAUUGAUUCCUGGGAUGGCAGGACUUUCAUAUGAAGAAAGUCUGGAUCGACUAGGGUUAUACUCACUGGAAUUUAGAAGAUUGAGGGGGGAUCUUAUUGGAACAUAUAAAAUUCUAAAGGGAUAGGACAGGCUAGAUGCUGGAAGAUUGUUUCCGAUGUUGGGAAAGUCCAGAAUGAGGGGUCACAGUUUAAGGAUAAAGGGGAAGCCUUUUAGGACCGAGAUGAGGAAAAACUUCUCCACACAGAGAGUGGUGAAUCUGUGGAACUCUCAGCCACAGGAAACAGUUGAGGCCUGUUCAUUGGCUAUAUUUAAGAGGAAGUUAGAUAUGGCCCUUGUGGCUAAAGGGAUCAGGGGGUAUGGAGAGAAAGCAGGUACAGGGUUUUGAGUUGGAUGAUCAGCCAUGAUCAUACUGAAUGGUGGAGCAGGCUCGAAGGGCCGAAUGGCCUACUCCUGCACCUAUGUUUCUAUGUUUAUUUCCUACCUGGCCUAGAAAAGUGUCCUAUCCACAGGAAAGUAGAUGUAGUUGUUCCCUAGCUUUGUCCAAAAUCCCAGACUGUGCUUGCUCAAGCUUUUUUCUUAUCUUGCUCUAAAACAUCACAGCCUUUGUUCAUCCAUUACACAGGGAGGGUAACACAUCAUGGGUUGGUCUAAUACUCAUCCACUGUUCUGUAACUCAGAUUCCUUGCUAUUCUCCAUUAAAGCAGCAGGGCAGUUGUUGCUUAGUCAGAGAAUGUAUUAACGAGCUGGAUCAGUGGAUUUUGUCAAACGACUAAGAUAGCAGAACCUCGGAAUGCCAGAGACCCAGGUCAAUGAUCACCCAUGGUGCUAUCUGUGUGGUAGUCACACAUUCUCCUUAUGACUGCAUAGACUCCCUGGGUACUCCAGUGUCACUGCCAGAAAGAUGAGGGCUUGUGGAUGAAUUGAUCAGAACAAGCUCCCUCUAGUCUGGUAGGAUCGGAGGGGAAUGCAGGACCUAUAAAAUCGGAUUAUAUAUAGAUGAGUGCUUGAUUAUCUGCUCAAACUAGGUAUUCUAUGGGAUAUGAAUUAAUAAUCAAAGGAUAAUGACGAAAGCCAAAAGACCAAAAAUAAUAUUGAAGGACAAGUUCAACUUGGAUCUAAUUAAAUGUCAAGAUAGGACAGAGGGAAUCAGAAAAAAUGCUGAACACUGGGAGAACUCAACGUAUUAAUGUCAUUGAGUAUUACAGUCUUGCAAUAGACCCUUUGGCCCAUUUGGUCCAUGCUGAACAGUUAUUUUGCUUAGUCCCACUGACUCAAACCCAGAUCAUAGCUCUCCAUACCCCUCCCAUCCAUGAGGAAACAGAUGGUCAUAGGCAUGGCACGAAACAGACCUCUCAGCAUGCUAACUCGCUGUUGACCAUCAUCCACCCUUUUACAUUCAUCCUACUUUUUAUUUCAAUUCUCCCCAAACUCACAGCAGCUCCCUCCUAUUAUACCACUCAUCUGCACGCUUUGAGAUGUGGGAGGUGACUGGAGCACCUGGAGGGUAUUCAAGUAGUCACAGGGAGAAGAGUAAUCUCCACACACAUAGCACCCAAGGUCGGUAUCGAACCAGGCUCGCUGUUGCUGAGUGACUGCACCUUUACUAGCUCUGUCACUGGUCUAUUUCUACUUCCAUCUUUCUAAUAACGAAACAUGAGAAAGUCUGCAGAUGCUGGAAAUCCAAAGCAACACACACAAAAUGUUGGAGGAACUUAACAGGUCAGAUAGCAUCUAUGGAAAAGAAUAAACAGUCGAUAUUUAGGGCUGAGACCCUUCAUCCAGACUGGAAAGGGGGAAGAUGCAAGAAUAAAAAGGUUGAGGGAGAAGAAAGAGGCUGGCUGGAAGGUGAUGGGUGAAGCCAGGUGGGUGGGGAACGUCAAGAGCUGGAGAAGAAAGAAUCCAAUAUGAGAGGAGAGUGGACCAUAGGAGAAAGGGAAGGAGGAGGGGACACUAGGGGAAGUAAUAGGCAAAUGAGAAGAAAUGAAAAGUCAGAGUGGGAAAUAGAGGAAGGGGGUGGGGGGGGAGAGAAAUGUAUUUACUGAAAUUUAUUUAAUCAAUUUUCAUGCAAUCAGGCUGGAGACAAUCCAGAUGGAAUAUAAGGUGUUGCUCCUGUACCCUAAGGGUGGCUUCAUCUUGGCACAAAAGGAGAUCAUGGAUCAAGAUGCUGGAAUGGGAAUGGGAAACAGAAUUAAAAUGUUUGGCCUCCAAGAAGUCCCACGUGUGGUGGAUGGUGCAGUUUAUGAAGCGGUUCUCCAAUUUACCCCAAUCUAAUGGCUAUGUUAAGGCUGCCAUUUUACUGGGUUUUUAUGGUUUGGGAUGCAUGCUUGAUUUUUACAUCAAAUUUCCAAACCACAAGAUAUCGCAGAACUUCUCAUGGCAAUUUCAACAUGGUUAUUAUAAGAAAAACUGACAUUGAAAGAAGGGACCAAAUUGCCUACAUCAUUCAGAAGAUGGUUUGAUUUCUCCAGGUUCUCUUCAUGACCUCACAUGAGACUGUUAAACAACAACUAUUUCCAGGUUCCUGUUAACUUUGGCUAAAAGUUAUGAGAAAAUGUAAUGGUAGAGUGGAAAAGAAAUGUAGGGUGAAACAAAUCAUCAUCCUAACACCCAGUCUUUACAACAAUCCUUGAAGAAUCAGACUAGUUACAAGUGAAGACCCAUGUUAAUGUUAACAACAGGAAUGAACUGCUAAACAAUGCAGAGUAUCAUGUUCAUACAAAGCCAAAAUACUGUCAAGGAAUCAAAUCAAAUAUGAUAUACAAAAGGUGAAUGAGCUUCAAUCGAGAAUUAGGAAAUUCUAAUUUGGAAUAAUUUUACAAUAUAGUGCCUAUUGUUAAUGUUGAAAAGUGAAGAUCUGUCAGAUGGGUAGAUUCAUUUUAUGUAAUGGAGUUUAAAGUAUAUGUUAUAUUUUUUAAUUAGAGCUCUCCCUUGGGGCCCAAACUCCUAUCAGCUUCAAACACAGGCAAGCAUCUUAUCUGCCAAGGCAGCCUCCUGACUGACCUACUGCCAAUCACAUUACUUAGCUUCCAGCUACUCCAACUUCGUUCUCAGGAGAUCAACUUGCACAACCAGGCUCAGGAGAAUACAUGCAGCAUCUCAUUUAAUUCUUCUGCUGAUGUGUGUCGAGGAGUGGUGAAAUGAUGAGAGGCAUGAAAUAAUCCAACACCACAAAAAAAAACAUAUGGUUACCAAUAGAAAAUCUGAAAUCACUGCACUCUUAGUGACUGGGUUUCCAAGGGAAAAAAUGCAAUUAAACUUAGCCGUCUGCAAAAGUAAUUGAAAUGCAGAUAACCAUGCAUUACUAAGACUGGACGCCAGAGGGCACACAAGAACCAUCACGACCUCAGGUGUAUUUUAAAGGGAUUUUCACGUUUUUUCUGUAACCCCUUUGUUUUCUUUCACCUGGGGGAGCUUUGAUUCUGCAUCUAUGUUGACCUUGAUAUCCACUCUCCCUUUUAUUUUGG